rnacentral:lncRNA from 1 species
ACGAGGAGAGAACGAGGCGUAGGCGGAGCCAGCAGCACCCCCACCCUCGCCGUUAAAAAGCUGCCCCGAGGGAAUACGAGUGACCAGGAGGGCAGUCAGGGCGAGCAGGAAGGGCAGAACAUUCCCCCUGCCCAUACGAACACCUCCUCUAACGGCGGUCUACCGCUAGCUCAGCUGCAGCGGUGUACACCAGGCACAGUGCGCUCUCCAGGAAGUCUGUACACACCCAGACCGACUGCCCACAUCAGGGAGCGUGAGCGCGAGAUAGACUUGUGGAGCAACUCCCUGAGUGGCCUGAAGGACAGGUACCGGGGUGAGACCCCCCCAGAUGGGGGGCUCUUCAGAAGGGACAGGCAGCAUGGAAGGGGUGGUGGUGUGGCUCUCUGUAUCAGAGAGAGUUUUGAUGUCGUGGAACUUGAGGCUGGGAAUGAUAAGGUGGAGUCCCUAUGGGUUAGGAUCAGCGGGAAGGCCAACAAGGGAAGCAUCCUGGUGGGGGUCUGUCAUAGACCACCAAACCAGGAUGAGGAGACUCAUGAGGAAUUCUACAGGCAGCUGACAAAAGUUGUGAAAUCGUCAGGACUUGUGCUUCCAGGAUAUAUCUGGGAAGUUGAAGUCCCCCACGAGAACAACACAGCCCAGAGAAAGCAGUCUAGGAGGUUUCUGGAGAGCAUGGAAGAUCGCUUCUUGAUGCAGCUGGUUAGUGAGCCUACCAGGGCAGGUGCCCCGCUAGACCUUCUCUUCACAAACAGAGAAGGACUGGUGGGAGAUGUGGUGGUUGGAAACUGUCUUGGGCAGAGUGGCCAUGAAAUGGUAGAGUUCUCCAUUCUUGGAGAAGCCAGGAAGGGGACCAGUAAAACUGCUGUAUUGGACUUCCGGAGGGCUGACUUUGAACUGUUCAGGACACUGGUUGGCAGAGUCCCUUGGGAGGCGGUUCUGAAGGGCAGAGGAGUCCAGGAAGGCUGGGAGCUCUUCAAGAAGGAAAUCUUAAUGGCGUGGGAGUGGUCUGUUCCCACAUGCCCAAAGACAAGCAAGAGGAAGAGGAAUGUCCUGGCUGAACAGAGAAUUGUGGCUUGA